GAAAUGCGAUAAGUAGUGUGAAUUGCAGAAUUCAGUGAAUCAUCGAAUCUUUGAACGCACAUUGCGCCCCUUGGUAUUCCAUGGGGCAUGCCUGUUCGAGCGUCAUUUGUACCCUCAAGCAUUGCUUGGUGUUGGGCGUGUGUCCGCUGCUUUGCAGAUUGGACUGGCCUUAAAACAAUUGGCAGCCGGCUUGUUGGCCUGGAGCGCAGCACAAAUUGCGCCUCUUGUCAAAUUAGUUGGCAUCCAUCAAGAACUUUUUAGCUCUUGACCUCGGAUCAGGUAGGGAUACCCGCUGAACUUAA
rnacentral:misc_RNA from 1 species